rnacentral:lncRNA from 1 species
GGACACAUUUGGACCAUCCGAGGAGGGAAGACGCGUCCCCAGCAGUCGGGACGGGCAGACGCCCCGGGUUGGGCCCUGCUGCCUUCUCCACAUUUAUCUAAACGAUAAGGGAGCAAAAGUGAAAUCGAUAUAAUACUCUAGUCAUUUUCAGUACUAAAGGUCUCUCCAACCAGGGCACCUGUCCCAACCGUCUGCCAUGUACAGCGCACACGUUGGGUUCAUUCGAGCGCGUCCCUAGAUUCCCGAGGAAUCAUUCCCUUCGCUGGAUCCGCUCCAGCUCAGCCUCGCCCCAUGCCUGAACCCUGUCUACAGAGGUCACUGAAUAGGGGCGCCACCCGGGUGACACGACGGGACUCAUUUUUCAAGGCGGAAGAAUACUAAAGUACCAAGGAUGACAACUUUUAUAAGAAGAGGAAAGUCCCCUCUACUUUGGACGCACUGGGGCUUUCUUCUUUUCCAGAAAAACUUUUGCUAAGU